rnacentral:rRNA from 1 species
GUCUAUGGCCAUGCCACCCUGAACAAGCCUGAUCUCAUUUGAUCUCAGAAGCUAAGCAGGGUCAGGCUUGAUUAGUACUUGGGUGGGAGACUACCUAGGAAGACCAGGUGCUAUAGGCA